AACGAACGCUGGCGGCAGGCUUAACACAUGCAAGUCGAACGCACCUUUCGGGGUGAGUGGCAGACGGGUGAGUAACGCGUGGGAAUCUACCCUUCUCUACGGGAUAGCUCCGGGAAACUGGAAUUAAUACCGUAUACGUCCUGAGGGAGAAAGAUUUAUCGGGGAAGGAUGAGCCCGCGUUGGAUUAGCUAGUUGGUGGGGUAAGGGCCUACCAAGGCGACGAUCCAUAGCUGGUCUAAGAGGAUGAUCAGCCACAUUGGGACUGAGACACGGCCCAAACUCCUACGGGAGGCAGCAGUGGGGAAUAUUGGACAAUGGGCGCAAGCCUGAUCCAGCCAUGCCGCGUGAGUGAUGAAGGCCCUAGGGUUGUAAAGCUCUUUCAGUGGGGACGAUAAUGACGGUACCCACAGAAGAAGCCCCGGCUAACUUCGUG
rnacentral:rRNA from 1 species